GGGAUUGCCCUAGUAACGGCGAGUGAAGCGGCAACAGCUCAAAUUUGAAAUCUGGCUCUUUCAGAGUCCGAGUUGUAAUUUGCAGAGGGCGCUUUGGUGUUGGCAGCGGUCCAAGUUCCUUGGAACAGGACGUCACAGAGGGUGAGAAUCCCGUACGUGGUCGCUAGCCUUCGCCGUGUAAAGCCCCUUCGACGAGUCGAGUUGUUUGGGAAUGCAGCUCUAAAUGGGAGGUAAAUUUCUUCUAAAGCUAAAUACUGGCCAGAGACCGAUAGCGCACAAGUAGAGUGAUCGAAAGAUGAAAAGCACUUUGGAAAGAGAGUCAAAUAGCACGUGAAAUUGUUGAAAGGGAAGCGCUUGCAGCCAGACUUGCCUGUAGUUGCUUAUCCGGACUUUUGUCCGGUGCACUCUUCUGCGGGCAGGCCAGCAUCAGUUUGGGCGGUUGGAUAAAGGUCUCUGUCAUGUACCUCUCUUCGGGGAGAACUUAUAGGGGAGACGACAUGCAACCAGCCUGGACUGAGGUCCGCGCAUCUGCUAGGAUGCUGGCGUAAUGGCUGUAAGCGGCCCGUCUUGAAACACGGACCAAGGAGUCUAACAUCUAUGCGAGUGUUUGGGUGUCAAGCCCAGACGCGUAAUGAAAGUGAACGGAGGUGGGAACCCUUUGGGUGCACCAUCGACCGAUCCUGAUGUCUUCGGAUGGAUUUGAGUAAGAGCAUGGCUGUUGGGACCCGAAAGAUGGUGAACUAUGCUUGAAUAGGGUGAAGCCAGAGGAAACUCUGGUGGAGGCUCGCAGCGGUUCUGACGUGCAAAUCGAUCGUCAAAUUUGGGCAUAGGGGCG
rnacentral:rRNA from 3 species